rnacentral:rRNA from 1 species
UGCAUAUCCAAUAAGCGGAGGAAAAGAAACCAACAGGGAUUGCCUCAGUAGCGGCGAGUGAAGCGGCAAGAGCUCAGAUUUGAAAUCUCACCUAGUGUGCGAGUUGUAAAUUGCAGGUUGGAGUCUCGGGUUAGACGUGUGUGCAAGUCCCUUGGAACAGGGUGCCACUGAGGGUGAGAGCCCCGUAGCGUGCAUGUCGACACCUGUGAGGCCCUUCUGACGAGUCGAGUUGUUUGGGAAUGCAGCUCUAAGUGGGUGGUAAAUUCCAUCUAAGGCUAAAUAUUGGCGAGAGACCGAUAGCGAACAAGUACUGUGAAGGAAAGAUGAAAAGCACUUUGAAAAGAGAGUGAAACAGCACGUGAAAUUGUUGAAAGGGAAGGGUAUUGGGCUCGACAUGGGAUUUACGCAUCGUUGCCUCUCGUGGGCGGCGCUCUGGGUUUUUCCUGGGCCAGCAUCGGUUUUCGUUGCAGGAUAAGGACAAUUGGAAUGUGGCUCCUCGGAGUGUUAUAGCCUUUUGUAGAUGCUGCGUAUGGGGACCGAGGGCUGCGGCGGACUCGUUUCGUCUCGGAUGCUGGCACAACGGCGCAAUACCGCCCGUCUUGAACCACGGACCA